AUGCACUUUGGUCACAGUAAGAAGUAAGAAAUUUGGGGGUUAACCCCCCAUCUGAGCAGGAUCCGUCUGCUUUCACUAGCUGCAAAGCCUGACACCAGCACUUGAAAGCACCUUAGACCCGCAGACCAUUUUUCACUUCUCUUUAAGUGCAAGCGAUGGGAAUUGCUAACCUCGGCUAAGAAAAUUUCAUUUUCCCCAUCCUGCUAAACGGUUCUGGUCGACAUAUGUUUGUUAUCAGAGAGAGGUGCUAUGAACACAGAGCCAUUUUCUUAGCAGCUCUUUGACUCUGUGUUACCAUAGUCCCACACGGCAUUGGUCCUUUCCCGUUGGGAAGUCAUGAAUAAGAGACUAUGAAGCUUGCACGUCAGAUCUUCCUCAAUUAAUCCACCAUUAGCAUGUUCGGGAUCCUCUACUGGAUGGUUAACAGCAGCUUUGGUAACUGUAUGCUGUCCAUACCCAAUUAUGCUCUGCUAAAAAUGAACUCUGCAGAACAACCUUCCUGAGCUGUCAGUGUCUCCCGUUUUCCUAUUUUAACGCUUGUGUGUAGUGGCAGGCGACAGAUGGUGUAGAUCAGAUCGAUUUGAUUGCAUUAGGCGAUUUUUUUUUUUUCCUCCUCUCCCCCCCGACUCCUUUUCUGGAAGCCCACAUUCAUCUGAGAGGCGAUCGCCGGGGACAUGGGAAGCAAGAGCAGCCGCCGAUGUGUGAAAGCAACGAGACAUGGCCAGCCAGAGGCGCCGGGGUCCCUUCACGGGGUUUGUUAACAUGGUAAUCCGGCACCAGGAGAGAAAGCUGCUUUCUGCUGCCCAGAGCCCAUUCCCCAUCACACAUCAGAUGACUCCCUGGCUUUACACACAGUUGGAGUUCUGCUCGAAACCUGGAUUUAAAGGGAAUCUGUUGCUGCGUGUGACAUCUCCUGCAAGCUCCCAGAGAGAAUUGAUGGAGCAUACAGCUAGGGAAUAGGAUACCGGAGAAGCACAGAGGAAGGAUCCAGGCAAUCACCAGGGUGGGAAGGUUCUGCGUCCACUGGAUAUGGGACAAGAUCGCUCGGCAACCCUUGUGGAUUCUCCUUCUUCUAGAGGCGAAUUAUAGUUAUGGAUUUAUUGUCCCGGUGCAGCACUUCCAGCAGCAGCAGCAGCAACAGCAGCAGCUUUCUGACUCUCUUCGGUGACGGCCCUACAGCCUAAGUUUCCUGGACUAGUCCACCUUCCUCCCUUCCUCGCCAAAUGAUGAAUGGAAAGCUGUUGAUCUUCAGUCUGUGGAGACAAUCUAACAUCAGCAACUUUCUGGGGGUGCUGCUACCAGGUGAGCCUCGGACCCUGCCGAUGUCCUCUGUCUGUGCUCCCAGAUGACAGCCCAGCGAUGGCAGAUGGAGGGACAUCCCAGGCUGGAUGGGACUGGGCCUUUGCUGCUCCCAGAGCUGCCCCACGCCAUGGGACCCCAGCUGCUGGAUGCCUGACCCAGCUUGAUGCUGCUGGAGAUGUGUUGGGGCUGGCUCUGCUUGCUGCUGCCUGCCUGCCUUAUUCUUUUGAGUUAUGCCCCAGCCCGCUCCUGUCCUGUUGUGCUAGUGCCUCCGGGCUGUAUUGAGUUUUCAAUUAUCACAAUAUACAGUGCAGAUGCUAUGCAAAACAGCCAGUGUGGCUGAGCAUGCUGAACUCAGUAGAAACACAGUUAAAUAAAAGUACUACUAUAAUACUAGGAGGCUGAUUGGAACCACAAGAUACCAGUGUCAUAUCCUGUGGCUUUUAUGUUGGUAGAUGUAGAUUUCAGCCAUUAAAGUCUAGCUAUCCAACAGAUAACAACUAGAGGAAAUGGAUCUGGGUAUCUUCAGUUGUGAGUAACUGAUAUACAUUUGCCCAUAAAUGCAGAACCUGCUAAACUGCAGAAGAAAAAAACAUUUGAGAUAUCUACAAAUAAAUCCAGGCAUGUACUAUGGAGUAGGAUCUAACUGUGUGCAACUUAAACUCCCUGUACACAAAAUACAUUUAAAGCGGUACAUCAAGAGACCUCUGAUUUCAGAGAACCAGUGUGUGGUUACUUGUCAACUCCAAAUUCAGUAAAGGAAAUAAACAGCAAAUGUAGGUCUCAACUUCUCUAUUUGUACAUGCAGUAACAAGCUCCCAGGUGAUACUGAUAUUGAGAUAUCUGUGUGGGGGUAAAAGACUGACAAAAGAGGAAGAAAUAAACAAUAAAUACAAUAAUGUCAAAUUUUCCUGUCAUUAACUUCUAGAAAAGCUCAACAGCUGGAAUUUUAAAAUGUCUUGUGUAGACAAAUGUUAAGAGAGCAACACAUUAAGUGUGUUUUUUCCAAAGGAAAAUGAAAUAGGCAUAAAGAGAAAAUUAUUAUAUUUAGUACUCUCAGGGCAAAUUCUAGUUAAGGACUGUGAAAUAAUUUGAAAAUAUUAAUGAUUUAGCCUCACAGCUAGCUUUCAGGUAGAGAAUAAUGAUAAUUAUUACUAUAAAUAAAUAGUACUAUUAUCAUUCUUGCUCAGAAGAAUGGAAUAUUGAUGCAUAGAGAAUUCUGUAUUUGUCCAAAGUCUGUGUUUUACUACUGUAAUCAUUCUUCUAAAGAACUAUUAUAUAUUAGGAUUAUCCUUUUCCAAAUACUCUUUGAUAUACUCUUCAGUUUAUCAGUUCUAAAAACCAACCAACCAACCAAGCCUCCUUGUGAAACAGUGCCAGUGAACAUCUCCAUUUGCAUGUGAAUUCUCCAGCAGCAGCAGUCCUGGUUAAAAAAAAGAAAAAAAAAAAGAGAGAGAGAGAAAAGGAAUCAUGAAAAUCAGUACAAAAUCUGUCAAGGCCCCAUCUGUGUCUGGGUAUCAGAAUAUCACUAAGAAGCUCUGAAGAACAAAGUUCAUUCCAAGUCUAACACAUAGUGCUUUUUGGUCGAUGAAAUUAAUUCAAGCAGGGAGAAACGAGAGUGUAUACCAUGAAAAACUCUGUUCCUCCACUGAGGAGCAAAGGAAAGAGGCAUCGCUGUGUGUGGUCUUGGUUUUGGUGUACAUAGACAUGCUUAAACACUAAAAUAAUCAGCAUGUCUCAUUUUGAUAGCCAGGUAUGCCUGCUGCUCCUCUGAGGAGUGCCAGGGAAUGAGGGACCCCUGGUCCUGACAGGAUGAGGACUCAGAUUAUAUAUGAUUGUUGCAAAAAGCAAGAUUUACAGCCAGCUACCUGAAGCAGUAUGGAAACAAAAUUAUAGUCUCCACUCUGGUCUUGAAAAUCCCUCUACAAACAUGUUUAUUUCCUUCUGAAUGGGAAUAUAUAAAGGCUGGGGAUACUUACUUGUAGGCUAUUUUUGUAUCUCCUCUUCAGGAUCUGAAUCUUGCAUAUUAAUGAACUACAGGAAACAGGAAAACCAAACAUUAACACCAUUCUAAUGCAGCAUACUAUUUUUCUUUCCCUUUUUUUAACUGUUAGAGUAUGCAAAUGUUCAGUUAACUGGUCCUCAUGUUUUCUCUUUAUUGAAUUGCUUUCACUAUGGCAAAUAAAUAUUCAUAAAGAAAUGUGGACAAUAAAUCAUUUCAAAUAGUUCAAAGCCAUUUUCUUUCUAGACUGCAUAUAUUUUCAGCUGUAACUCGCCUUUAAUAUUUCAUUCAAAAGACAGACUUGUAGAAGGACAAUAGAGAUAAUGUGUCAAGUAGUAAUUAAAACAGGGAGUAAUGAUUAAAACCAUUUUGAUCUACAUUGUGCUCUGCCAGAUUCAUAAUCUCCUGUGUUUGUUCGGAUGACUUUCUACUUGCUUUAUACAGAAACUCAAAAUAAACUUCAGUUUGAAGACACUGCAGAAAACAAAAGAUUUCAGCCCCAAGCUUGUGAAGUCCAGAGCCUUUCCCAGUCCUGGAGUUUAGGUAUAUAUUCUGUACCAUCCUAGCAGAUAAACUCAAGCAGGCACUGUCUUUCCUGCUAAUAUUGUGACUGCUCCAGGAAGCAGAUCCAAAUGCAGAGCAGAAUACAAGGAAGGGCCAUCCCAGUGUGUAUAGGUAAACGUAUAUCUCACCAUUUAGAUUUAAGCUAAGAGCUUCAGAAGAAAUUAAAUUUAAAAAAUCUGGUUAACUUGUACAUUUAGGGAUCUUGGUCCAAAUCCAAGUAAUAAUUAUGUUCCUUGUCUCCUUGUACGUUUUGGCUGUUAAUACACAUAUUUGACCCAAAUUCAUUGUCUUUCCUGAUAUGUUGCUGACUUUAGGCCCUGAUUGAACAGAGAACUUAUAUACAGACUUAAAUAAAUUGAUUUAGGAAAGCAUUCCUCUUUGUGUUUAAUCUUGGGCAGACAUUCAACUUUCAUAUCAGUGGGACUUAUGAACAGCCCUGACCUUUGGGUCUAAAUAUUUGCCAAAUCAGUACACUGAUAGAAAUAUAUUGGAAAAGAUACAUGUCUGAUCAGAAUUUUAGUCUCUACUUUCAUGGCUAAAUACCCACAGAUAACACAUUAUUCUGCUCAAGAAAUCCAUUUUAUAAAAUUUAUCAGAAAGCCUUAAGUCACGUUUUCUGUUUAUGCCAAAAAUACCAGAUGAACAUUAUCAUUCCUUGAUAGUGUACCUGUAAUAUUCUUCAAAUAAAUAAAUAAAAAACAGGAAAA